CUUGUUAGACGGUUGAUUCGGCCGGCAUACCUGUAACAAAGUUUUGAAGUAAAGGAAACAAUCACACAAUGUAUCGAAGCAAAGUACUUAAAUUAACAUAAAUUCAAACAAGUAUAUCUUUGAUCGCUAGAGAAGAACUUAACUUACUUUCAACGAGUUGAAACCAAAGUUUCGACAUAAUUGUUCAUAGAUAACCAACAUAUUUUUUUGUUAAAUAUAGAUUUCAAUGGUUUUCCAGUUAGCAAAUCAGCGAGAAUAGCUUUAUCGUCUUGUAAGAAUAGCAUAGUACCACGAUUGAGAUAAAGAUUGAAACACGAAAAGAGAUCAUAUUUAAUGUUCAACCGAAGAACGUCAUGGCUGCUGAGUAGAUGGUUUCUGGUCCAAGACUU
rnacentral:lncRNA from 1 species